rnacentral:rRNA from 1 species
UGCCUAAUACAUGCAAGUCGAGCGAACAGAGAAGGAGCUUGCUCCUUUGACGUUAGCGGCGGACGGGUGAGUAACACGUGGGCAACCUACCCUAUAGUUUGGGAUAACUCCGGGAAACCGGGGCUAAUUACCGAAUAAUCUAUUUUACUUCAUGGUGAAAUACUGAAAGACGGUUUCGGCUGUCGCUACUAAGAUGGGCCCGCGGCGCAUUAGCUAGUUGGUGACGGUAACGGCUCACCAAGGCGACGAUGCUGUAGCCGACCUGAGAGGGUGAUCGGCCACACUGGGACUGAGACACGGUCCCAGACUCCUACGGGAGGCAGCAGUAGGGAAUCUUCCACAAUGGGCGAAAGCCUGAUGGAGCAACGCCGCGUGAGUGAAGAAGGUUUUCGGAUCGUAAAACUCUGUUGUAAGGGAAGAACAAGUACAGUAGUAACUGGCUGUACCUUGACGGUACCUUAUUAGAAAGCCACGGCUAACUACGUGCCAGCAGCCGCGGUAAUACGUAGGUAGGCAAGCGUUGUCCGGAAUUAUUGGGGCGUAAAAGCGCGCGCAGGCGGGUCCUUUUAGGUCUUG